CUGGAAAUCUUGAAUUAGAAGGAAGACAUGUAUUUAAAUUUCCUAAAAAAUAUGAUAGAUGGUUGCAAUGGAUACGAGGAAGUGGGAGACUGGAUUUAGAAGAAAAAGGUCUUGAAUAUUCUUCUAGAAAUUGUCAAUUAUGCUAUCUACAUUUUGAAGAAAAAUGGUUUAAAAUUAGUAAAAGAAGAGUUCUUCAUCCAGAUGCCAUACCCACGAAAUUUGGAAAAGAUUUGAUAUUAUCUAAAAUAAGUGAAAUAGAAGCAGAUACAGAAGCUGAAAAGGAGAG